CAUCAUUUAUUGAACGCAUGACAAUAAUCUUUUCAGCUCUAACAUUUUGAUGGAGAGUAUAAUAACACAGUAACUGUUACCUUAAUCCCGAUGUAGACUCAUACUGAUAUGCUGAUUCUUGUACCAUGCCAUUCAAUGAAUAUAUGAAAUGUAUAUAUAAUUUGAAUUUUAUGUUUUCCGUCGAUUAUAUGAUUAUCCCCAUGACAAAGGGACGGUUGGGUAGUCUUGCGGUUAAACCGUUCGCUCGUCCCGCUGAAGACCCGCAUCGAUUCACUACAUUGAUACAUAGUGGGAAACCCAUUACUGGUGUCCCCCGUCGUGUUAUUGCUUGAAUAUUACUGAAAGCGGCGUAAAAGUAAACUCACUUAUUCACUCAUACCAUGUAAAACGUUUUGAGCAAACAAAUGCUCUUAAAUGUCUCGAAUGAUGUUAUAAAAAAUAACCAUAUAGUAUUGACGUAUCAUCUCAUAGCAGCAUGUUUUGUUUUUACAAAUUCCAGUAAGACAGUUCAAUCUCCCGUGAAUGUGCAUUUAUAACCCAUCACGUAUUAUACUGAAACUUUUGACCAACAAAAGUGAUUUGUUUUAUAAACCGACUUAAACCAUACUCCAGAUGUGAGAGAGAACUUGGUUGUUAUACAGAAGCUGUUAAAUUGGUGUUUGUCUUUAAAUGCAGGUCAUAAACAUUGUUGACUUCUUUUACCCUGUGAUGAAACAUAUCGGUUUGAGCAUAUUAACAAUAAAAGUAUUUUUCGACUUCA